rnacentral:rRNA from 1 species
AUCAACGCUGGCGGCGUGCUUUAUGCAUGCAAGUUGAACGGUUUUGAUUUAUCAAGAUAGUAGCGAACGGGUGAGUAACACGUAAGUAACCUGCCCUAAAGUGGAGAAUAACUUCGGGAAACUGAGGCUAAUACUGCAUGUGAUGGCAGAGGUAGUGCUUUGUCAUUAAAGCCUUCGGGCGCUUUUGGAGGGGCUUGCGUUCGAUUAGCUAGUUGGUAGGGUAAUAGCCUACCAAGGCUACGAUCGAUAGCUGGUCUGAGAGGAUGAUCAGCCACACUGGGACUGAGACACGGCCCAGACUCCUACGGGAGGCAGCAGCAAGGAAUUUUGUGCAAUGGGCGAAAGCCUGACACAGCAACGCCGCGUGAGGGAUGACGGCCUUCGGGUUGUAAACCUCUUUUCUCAGGGAAGAAUAAUGACGGUACCUGAGGAAUAAGCUUCGGCUAACUACGU